GGAGGAGUGCCUGAGUGGUUGAAGGGGCCGUUCUCGAAAAACGGUAUACGGGAAACCGUAUCGUGAGUUCGAAUCUCACCUCCUCCG
rnacentral:tRNA from 1 species